GUCUCGUUAGCACAGUAGGCAGCGCGUCAGUCUCAUAAUCUGAAGGUCGUGAGUUCGAACCUCACACGAGGCA
rnacentral:tRNA from 1 species